GUAGUAGGUACCUGUGCGCGCUU
rnacentral:piRNA from 1 species